UUGCUUGUGGGCUCGACUCUGGGUGUCAGCCUCAUCGUCUGCCCUCUCACGUGGCUCGGUUUCUCCCUUGGGUGAUCUUAGAUCACUGUGGGUACUCAGAUUACUGAUGGAUCAGUUCUUAGGAGUGAUCCCCUGGAUGAGCAAGUCCUUCUCUGAUGAGUGGGUUUCCCUCGGAGACGCUGCAGGGUAUGAGUCCUCUGCCUCCACCACUCCUGUAAUUUCGCGGUUGCCUGCGAAAGCUGUAACUGACCAGGAGGGUCUUGUUCCUCUUCUUGGGAGCAGAAGCUCUCAUGUGCUGUCUUCACUUUUAUCCCAACAGAUUCUAUUCAGGCAGCCAAAUUGAGGCAAAGCAUCAGAUCAGUCUCUUACCUGACCCCUCAGCCCAGGCCAAUCAGCCUCCUUCAACUGACCAAACCCUGGUCCCCCUCAGCCAGCCGCCACCCCAGCGCCUUUUGACUGCGUGGGCAUUACCCAUCAGCAUCUUCCAGCCAGCUUCCCCCGCCCCAAUGUCUGUCAUCUCUGUGGGUAUUUUCCUGGUGUCUUUCAACUAGGCCCCCUGCCCGGUACCUUUUAACUGGGACACCAGGUGCCUGGUAAACCCGGGAUCAUAAACCAACACAGGAAAUCUGAGAAACAAGAAGGACACACCCAAAUUUGUUUCGACCCCCAGUGAGGUGGGCAGGUGCAAGGGGCUCCUGCCGGUACCCAGGCUCUGAUUCCUUGUAAAGUUCAGGCGAAGGAGAGACGUCUGCCAUGGGCCCUUCGAGGUCGUCAAAACUGCCACCUGAAAAAGGUGCAGCGUGAGAGUCGUGAGUUAAGUUUUAUUUGGGGCAAAAUGAGGACUAAAGCCCGAGAGACAGCCGUUCCGAUGGCUCUGAGAAAAUGCCCCAGAGAGUUCAGGGGUGGGGUGAAUACACGGAGGAUUCUGGUGAGGGUGCGUGCGGUCAGGCACCCAUUUUGGCAGGGGCUUGCUGCUGGUCUCGGGAAAGUCACUGUUUGUCACAGGGAGCAGAUGCUACCACUGGGCAUUUCACUGCUUUUCCAGACAAGGAGAUGCAAGCACUGGGGCCACGAAGUCUUCUCGUGGAAGCAUCCGACGCUCUGAAGACCCCUUCGGCCGGUUUUCCCUGGCGCAGAGGCCUCACUCCUGACCUCACCCCCACCUCCUUUUAGUUGUCUGAAGCAGUGAAGCUGGGGCGCUCAGCAGGCUGAUGAGAAGACGAGAGAAAGCCCAGGUCAAGCGCGCAUCUGGCGAUGAGGGGCCAGGCUCAUCUCCCUGCCAGCCUGGGUGUGACCAGGAGCAGCCUGGGGUCCAGCAGAGGCAAGAAAGGCGGCCCUGAGGGCCGUGGGCACCGGAGCGGCCACGCAAAGCCCUGCGGCCCAACAUGGCUGGUCUGUGGGAGAAGAGGACAGGGCAGUGGCUGUGGAGACAGCUGGCCGCCUGCCACUGCUGCCAACUCGGCCCCCUGGACACGUGCCCAAUGGCUCCCACCGCUCUUCAGUCCAGCAGGAUCUCAGGUGAGAGGCCAAGCCGCUGGGAGG